GAUGAACGCUAGCUACAGGCUUAACACAUGCAAGUCGAGGGGUAACGAGAGGAAAGCUUGCUUUCCUUGUCGACGACCGGCGCACGGGUGAGUAACGCGUAUCCAACCUGCCCCCAACUAGGGAAUAACCUUGCGAAAGUAAGACUAAUACCCUAUAAUUUCCUCAGAUGUCAUCUGACGAGGAAUAAAGAUUUAUCGGUUGUGGAUGGGGAUGCGCCUGAUUAGCUUGUUGGCGGGGGAACGGCCCACCAAGGCAAAGAUCAGUAGGGGGUCUGAGAGGAAGGUCCCCCACAUUUGAACGGAGACCCGGUCCGAACGCCUACGGGAGGCAGCAGUGAGGAAUAUUGGUCAAUGGACGGAAGCCUGAAUCAGCCAAGUAGCUUGCAGGAGGACGGCCCUAUGGGUUGUAAACUGCUUUUAUACAGGAAUAAAGUUAGCCACGUGUGGUUAUUUGUAGGUACUGUAUGAAUAAGGACCGGCUAAUUCCGUGCCAGCCGCCGCGGUAA
rnacentral:rRNA from 1 species